GGAUUCCAGAGGAGGGACUGACAACUGGGCUAUCAGGGAAGGCUUCACAGAAGAGGUGGAAAAUGGCAUUCAUGAUGAAGAAUGGGUGGAAUUGGUUCAAAGAGUGGAGUGGCAGGAGUGUGACUCAGUGUUUCUACUUCAUUUCAAUGCAAUUUCUAUCAAAAUAUCAAUUACAUGGUAGUAACAAAAACAGAAAAAACAAUCCUAAAAUUUAUAUGAAAUGAAAAAGGAGUCCAAAUAGCCAAAGAAAUCUUGAGCAAAAAGAAAAAAGCUGGAGGAACCACACUAUCUGACUCCAAAAUAGACUACAUAUUUAUAAUAACCAAAACAUCAUGUUACUGGCAUAAAAACAGACACAUACACCAACAGAACAGGAUACAGAGCCCAGAAGUAAAUCUACACACCUACAGCCAACUGAUUUUCAACAAAGGUGCCAAGAAUACACAUUGGAAAAAAGACAUUCUCUUCAAUAAACGGUGCUGAGAAAAUUGGAUAACCACACAGAAAUGAAACUAGACUCCUGCCUCUCGCCAUAUACAAAAAUCAACUCAAAAUUGGUUAAAGACCUAGCUGUGAAACCUGAAACUAUAAAACUAUUAGAAAAACCUGCUAGAAGUGUGAAACUACUAGAGGAAAACGUAAAGAAAAUGUUUCACAACAUUGGACUGGGCAAGGACUUUUGGAUAUUACCUCAAAAGCACAGGCGACAAAAGCAAAAAUAUAGACAAAUGGGAUUACAUCAAACUAUAAAGGAUCCUCACAUCAAAGAGAAUAAUCAGCAGUGUAAAGAGGCAGUUUACAGAAUGGGAGAUGACAGCUGCAAACUAUACAUUUGGCAAGGAGUUAAUAUACAGAAUACAUAAGGAACUUAGACAACUCAACGGCAUGAAUAAAUAAAUAAAAUAUCCCAAUUAAAACAUGAGCAAAGGACCUUAAUAGGCAUUUCUCAAAAGAUGACAUACAAAUUCUAGCAGGUGUAUGAAAAAUUCCUCAGCAUCUCUAAAUGUCAGAAAAACGCAAAUCGAAGUCAUAAUGAGAUACCACCUCACUCAAGUAAGAAGGGCUAACAUCAAAAAUACAAAAGAUAAGAAGUGUUGGUGAAAAUAUGGAGAUGAGGGAACCCUUACACACUUUUGCUGGGUUUGUAAAUUAGUACGGCCAUUAUGAAAAACAGUAUAGAGGUUUCCAAAAAAUUAAAAAGAACUGCUAUAUGAUCCAGCAAUCUCACCACUGGGUGUAUAUCAAAAGGAAAUGAAAUUAGUACAUUGAAGACAUACAGCACUCCAGUGUUUGUUGCAAUACUCUUUCACAAUAGCCAAGAUCUAGAAUCAACCUAAGUGCCCAAUGACCAAUGAGUGGAUGAAGAAUAUGUCACACACACACACACACACACACACACACACACAAAAUGGAACAGUACUCAGCCAUAAAAAAUGAAAUUCUGUCAUUUGCAACAACAUGGGUGAAACUGGAGGACAUGAUGUUAAGCAAAAUAAUCCAGACACAGAAAGAAAAAAAACCCACGAUCUCACUCAAAAGUGCAAUCUUAAAAAGUUGAUCACAGGCCGAGUGCAGUGGCUCACGCCUGUAAUCCCAGCACUUUGGGAGGCCAAGGAGGGUGGAUCACAAGGUCAGGAGUUUGAGACCAGCCUGGCCAACAUGGUGAAACCCUGUCUCUACUAAAAAUACAAAAAAUUAGCUGGGCGUAGUGGUAGGCGCCUGUAAUCCCAGCUACUUGGGAGGCUGAAGCAGGAGAAUCGCUUGAACCUGGGAGGCGGAGGUUGCAGUGAGCCAAGAUCGCAACACUGCACUCCAGUCCGGGUGACAGGGUGAGACUCUGUCUCAAAAAAAAAAAAAAAAAAAAAAAGCUGAUCACAUAAAAAUAUAGAGUAGAACAACAGUUACCAGAACCAGAGGAAAGGAGGAGGAAAGGAGGAUGGUGAGAGGUUGAUCCACAGGUACAAAAUUACACUUAGAUAGAAGGAAUAUGUUCUGGUGUCCUAUUAAUGCAGAGUAGGGAAAUUAUUGUUAACAAUAAUGCAUUGUAUAUUUCAAAAUAGCUAGAAGAGCUGUUUCUGAGUGUUCUCACCACAAAGAAAUUAUAACUGUAUGAGGUGAUGAAUAGGCUAAUAAUUACCCUGAUUUGAUCAUUUUGCAACAUAUACACAUAUAACAUUGUACCCCAUAAAUAUUUACAAUUACCAUGUGUCAAUUAAAAAUAAAUGAAAAUUUCAAAGACAAAAAUAACUGCAAAUUAAGAAGACUAAAUCCAUCAAAAUAUUAUUUAUAAAUUGAGGCAAAACAAAGAUAUUUUCAGAUAGGUAAAGCCUGAAAGAAUUCACAUCCAGCAUAUUUGCACUAUAAGGAAGCUAAAAAGACGUUCUUAAGCUUGAUGGAAAAAGAUGCCAGAAGAAAGCCCAGAUCUAUAAGGAGAAAUAAGGAAAAUGAGAAAAGAAAAAUAUGUGAAUAAUUAUAGGGCACCUUUUUAUUUAUUUAUAUAGGUAUCUGUUUUGACAAGUGUGUACACACACACACACGCGCGGAGGCAAUUGGCUGUUAAAAGCAAAAGUAAGCAUGGAUUUUAAGUAUUCAGAAUUUUAAAACAAUAUCAGAAGAGCACAAAGGAUAAAAGGUAUUAUGAAUGGAAUUAUAGGUCCUAUCCAAAAGACCUCUUAUAUGCUUCUUACAUUAUUCUAAAAGUAGUAUGUUAUUUGAAAUCAGACUUAUGUUUUAAAGAUGUAUAUUUUAUCUGUAGUGCAACUACUAAAAAAUAACACAAAGAACUGGGGUUUAGAAGUCAAUACAAAGUAAGCUUAUUUUUGUUAAAUUUUAAAAAUUUGAUCUCUUCCAAUCAAAAGUUCAUUCUACAAACUUUAUUAUUUAAAAUAAAAGGAAAACAAAACUUUUUUUUCUGGAACAUUUUUAUCCAUUUUUCAAAUGUUCUUGCUGUGCCUUGAUGUCUUGAUGUAACAGCCUUCCCCAGCCCCCAUUUAAAAAAAUAUUUUUAAUUAUUUUCAUACUGCCUUUUUAAAGAUAUACUUUAUUUACAUGCAAUAAAAUUAUGCUUUGGGGUGUUAGGCUCAUUUAGACAAAUGCACAUAGUCAUGUUUCCGCCACCACAAUCAAGAUACAGAACAUUACCAUCGCCCUCUAAAAUUCCCUCAUGCUAUUUCUUUAUUGUCAUUCCCUCUCCUCCACUCCACCCUUAGUCUCUGGCAGCCACCGAUGUGUUUUCUGUUCCUAUGACUUUGUAUUUUCCUGAAACUGAUUUUAAAUAUUUAUGGGAGGCAGUAAUGGAAAAGUUGACUUCAUAACUUUAUAUCUUAUACUUUUGUAUAAUGUGUCAUUAUCCAUACUUGAGAAAGUGUAUUCCAUGAUAUAUAGACAUAAAUAAAUGUGCUUUACAAUGUAUAUGUAAAACUUUUCUGUAUAUAAGAACUUCCUAGCAUAAAUUUGUAAAAUAAAGCAAACUUGAAAAAGUCAAUAUAGGAAAUACAAUAGAUUUGCAUUAAAGAAU
rnacentral:lncRNA from 1 species